AUUGAACGCUGGCGGCAGGCUUAACACAUGCAAGUCGAGCGGAGAUGAGGUGCUUGCACCUUAUCUUAGCGGCGGACGGGUGAGUAAUGCUUAGGAAUCUGCCUAUUAGUGGGGGACAACAUUCCGAAAGGAAUGCUAAUACCGCAUACGCCCUAUGGGGGAAAGCAGGGGAUCUUCGGACCUUGCGCUAAUAGAUGAGCCUAAGUCGGAUUAGCUAGUUGGUGGGGUAAAGGCCUACCAAGGCGACGAUCUGUAGCGGGUCUGAGAGGAUGAUCCGCCACACGGGGACUGAGACACGGCCCAGACUCCUACGGGAGGCAGCAGUGGGGAAUAUUGGACAAUGGGCGGAAGCCUGAUCCAGCCAUGCCGCGUGUGUGAAGAAGGCCUUUUGGUUGUAAAGCACUUUAAGCGAGGAGGAGGCUACCUGGAUUAAUACUCUAGGAUAGUGGACGUUACUCGCAGAAUAAGCACCGGCUAACUCUGUGCCAGCCGCCGCCGUAAGAC
rnacentral:rRNA from 1 species